rnacentral:rRNA from 1 species
AGUGAACGCUGGCGGUAGGCUUAACACAUGCAAGUCGAACGGCAGCACAGUACGAGUUUGCUCUUACCGGGUGCCAGUGGCGUACGGGUCAGGAAUACAUCGGGACCUACUCUUUGGUGGGGGUUAACGUAGCGAAACCUACGCUAAUAUCGCAUAUGAUCCACGAGUGAAAGCAUGGGAUCGUUUGACCUUGUGCGAUUGAAUGAGCGGAUGUUGGACUAGCUAGUUGGCGGGUUAAAGGCCCACCAAGGCGACGAUCCGUAGCUGGUCUGAGUGGAUGGUCGGCCACAUUGGAGCUUAGCCACGGUCCAGGCUCCUGCGGGAGGCAGCAGUCGGGAAUAGUGGGCAGUGGGGGCGAGCCUGAUCCAGUCAUACCGCGUGGGUGACGGAGGCGUUCGGGUUGUAAAGCCGGUCUGUUGGGAAAGAACAGCAGCAGGUUAAGACCCCGCUGUUGUGACGGUACCCAAUGAAUAAGCACCGGCUAACUUCGUG